CCUACGGGUGGCAGCAGUGGGGAAUAUUGGACAAUGGGCGAAAGCCUGAUCCAGCAAUGCCGCGUGUGUGAAGAAGGCCUUCGGGUUGUAAAGCACUUUCAGUGGGGAAGAAAGCCUUGGGGCUAAUACCCUCGAGGAAGGACAUCACCCACAGAAGAAGCACCGGCUAACUCCGUGCCAGCAGCCGCGGUAAUACGGAGGGUGCGAGCGUUAAUCGGAAUUACUGGGCGUAAAGCGCGCGUAGGCGGUCUGAUAAGCCGGUUGUGAAAGCCCCGGGCUCAACCUGGGAACGGCAUCCGGAACUGUCAGGCUAGAGUGCAGGAGAGGAAGGUAGAAUUCCCGGUGUAGCGGUGAAAUGCGUAGAGAUCGGGAGGAAUACCAGUGGCGAAGGCGGCCUUCUGGACUGACACUGACGCUGAGGUGCGAAAGCGUGGGUAGCAAACAGGAUUAGAUACCCUUGUAGUC
rnacentral:rRNA from 1 species